CCUAGCCUCCGAGGCCGCGCUGUCCUGUUCCCGCUGCCUGCUGCCCCUCCCCGCCCCAUAUCUUCUCCGGAGGACCCUCUGCUCACAGACAUGGAAGAACAUUCCUGUUGCUCCACAUCCUCACCAACAUUUCGUGUUCUGUUGUCAGUGCUCUGGAUUCUGGAUGGAGAAAACAAAACUAGCUUGCAAGAAGGAAAUAACAGAAGACAUGUUGUGAUGUGAUACAGAAUCCUGGAAAAGGCAGUAACGUGGAUUAAAGGAGUAGGGAGAGCAUAUCAGGUAAUUUGGAUAGGAAGGAG